CAAAAUUAAAUUAAAACGAAACUCUUUUGUUUACUUUUUAUUCAAAGAUAGCCGCGUCGCUUUUCGUGCGCUUAUAAAACCCAGUUUUUGUGUAGAUUUCUGUGUACAAGCUUGAUUUCCUUGCUACCUAUCCGUGUUACCUCUGUGAUUGUGGGUGGUUGUUGUGUGCAAUUCGAUCGGGAGUUGCUAAUUGUUGUUCACCUGUAAAACCUGUUACCAUGAGCGGUUCGAAUGUGGGAGCUACUAGCUGUGGAGCACACCCUAAAAUGAAACAAUCAUCGAAAUUAAACACAAGCACACCUUACCUCAGCGUCGGCAUCGUGCGUGAA